UUUCCGUAGGGUGAACCUGCGGAAGGAUCAUUG
rnacentral:rRNA from 1 species